ACGAAAUAUUUAUUUAGAGCGGUUAGUGGCGGACUGGUGAGUAACGCGUAAGGACCUGCCUAUUAGAGGGGGAUAACAGUGAGAAAUCAUUGCUAAUACCGCAUAUGAUCACAUGAUGAAAGGAGCAAUCCGCUAAUAGAUGGCCUUGCGUCUGAUUAGAUAGUUGGUGGGGUAACGGCCUACCAAGUCGACGAUCAGUAGCCGGACUGAAGGUUGAACGGCCACAUUGGGACUGAGAUACGGCCCAGACUCCUACGGGAGGCAGCAGUCGGGAAUAUUGCGCAAUGGAGGAAACUCUGACGCAGUGACGCCGCGUAUAGGAAGAAGGUUUUCGGAUUGUAAACUAUUGCGUUAGGGAAGAGAAGGCAGUACCUAAGGAGGAAGCUCCGGCUAACUACGUGCCAGCAGCCGCGGUAAUACGUAGGGGGCAAGCGUUAUCCGGAUUUACUGGGUGUAAAGGGAGCGUAGACGGCAAGGCAAGUCUGAAGUGAAAGCCCGGUGCUUAACGCCGGGACUGCUUUGGAAACUGUUUGGCUGGAGUGCCGGAGAGGUAAGCGGAAUUCCUAGUGUAGCGGUGAAAUGCGUAGAUAUUAGGAAGAACACCAGUGGCGAAGGCGGCUUACUGGACGGUAACUGACGUUGAGGCUCGAAAGCGUGAGGAGCAAACAGGAUUAGAUACCCUGGUAGUC
rnacentral:rRNA from 1 species